CCGCACAGCUCCGGUCAGCGCAGGAGAACGCCCUGCCGGCGAGCCCAACGUCACCAACGGAAGGCCACCUCCUCCCGGCCCGGGCCAGCAGCCCAGUGCCACGCCAAGGCUCGCGAGACUGGAGGCAAAUGUCGCGAGAGUCGAAUCGCGCCGAGGGACGGCCCUUGUACCCCGCCCCUCAGAAUCAGCGGUCCAAUCCCAAGUCCGCAGCCCGGUGCGAGCUGUCAACCACGGCUGGCGGCAUCGCGAGACUUCCUGGUUGUCUGACCUGUGAAUGAACGCGCUAGUGAAGCCGAGGUUUCCGGAGCCGACGUGGCCUUUUGGCUUGUUCUCCUUCUCGGGGUUGAUACGAGUUUCCAUAAAUUUCCUUACGCUGCUUGUGCCGAGUUAAAAGACUCUUGGGUGCCGGGCGUGGUGGCGCACGCCUUUUAUCUCAGCACUCAGGAGGCAGAGGCAGGCGGAUCUCUGUGUGUUCGAGGCCAGCCUGGGCUACCAAGUGAGUUCCAGGGUAGCUAGGGCUACACAGAGAAACCCUGUCCCGAAAAACCAAAAAAAAAAAAAAAAAAAAAAAGGCACGGGAACCGGAUGUGCCUCACUUGUACCUGCCAGGCUGAGACAAGAGGCUGGCUGCCAGCUUGAGGCCACCCUGGAUUACUGAGACUUUCUCAAAAAAAAAAAGAAAAGAAAAGAAAAAGAAACCAAACAAAAAGCAACACCAAAGUCCCAAGCAAAACACAAACCAUGGUGUGGCACACCUCGAAAGUGAAGUUCAAAGUCAUCCUGAGCUACGUAACAAAUAUGCACGAAUUUGAAGAAAUGAAGCCAGGUGGCUGUAGCGAUGGCGGCGCAGCACCGGUUGUAGCGGAAGUGGGUUCAAUCCCAACACCCACAAGAUAAAAGGACCUGGACGGAGACUCUGGCCACUCACACUGUCACUGCCAAGUUCAUCUGUCCUUUGCUGGUUGAUAGGAAAACCAGCUUCUUUGGGAUUCCAACACUCUCCAGGGAUCUUCCAGGCCUCCAGGGGUCUCAUGUGGCACAGGCUAACUUUGACUCACUGCCUCUACUUCCCAGGUGUGCCUAGUGCUGGUUAUUCAACUUUUUUGCCUCUCAGCUCUGAAUGCACCCUUUGGUUGAUUCUCUGUAAUGUGUAAUUCAGCCUUAAGCAGGGAUACUUGCUUCAACCUCUCAUCCUGAAAAGAAACUUCGGUAUUUUUUAUAAACUAGGAGAAGAAAAGAGGUGAAAGAAAGGUGAGAACAGGGCUGUGUGAUGGCAUUAGUUGAUUACAAAGAGACAUUCUGGGAUACCGAAGAGAGGUGUACAUCAUUGUUGUGGGAUAUAUUGCUGUGAUUGGUUCAAUAGAGAGCUGAACAGCCAAUAGCUAGGGAGGAGGUACAGGCAGGACUUCUGGGCAGAGAGGAAGGAAACGGAUGAAUCUACUUGUCCAAGAGACUCCAGGAGACACAGAAGAAGCAGGAUGGGCAGUACGUGACAGAAUAUAGAUUAAUAGAAGUAGGUUAAUUUAAGUUAU